rnacentral:rRNA from 1 species
AGAGUUUGAUCCUGGCUCAGGACGAACGCUGGCGGCACGCUUAACACAUGCAAGUCGAACGAGAGAAGAGGAGCUUGCUUUUCUGAUCUAGUGGCGGACGGGUGAGUAACACGUGAGCAAUCUGCCUUUCAGAGGGGGAUACCGAUUGGAAACGAUCGUUAAUACCGCAUAACAUAAUUGAACCGCAUGAUUUGAUUAUCAAAGAUUUAUCGCUGAAAGAUGAGCUCGCGUCUGAUUAGCUAGUUGGUAAGGUAACGGCUUACCAAGGCGACGAUCAGUAGCCGGACUGAGAGGUUGAUCGGCCACAUUGGGACUGAGACACGGCCCAGACUCCUACGGGAGGCAGCAGUGGGGAAUAUUGCACAAUGGAGGAAACUCUGAUGCAGCGAUGCCGCGUGAGGGAAGAAGGUUUUAGGAUUGUAAACCUCUGUCUUCAGGGACGAAAAAAGACGGUACCUGAGGAGGAAGCUCCGGCUAACUACGUGCCAGCAGCCGCGGUAAUACGUAGGGAGCGAGCGUUGUCCGGAAUUACUGGGUGUAAAGGGAGCGUAGGCGGGAUCGCAAGUCAGAUGUGAAAACUAUGGGCUUAACCCAUAAACUGCAUUUGAAACUGUGGUUCUUGAGUGAAGUAGAGGUAAGCGGAAUUCCUAGUGUAGCGGUGAAAUGCGUAGAUAUUAGGAGGAACAUCAGUGGCGAAGGCGGCUUACUGGGCUUUAACUGACGCUGAGGCUCGAAAGCGUGGGGAGCAAACAGGAUUAGAUACCCUGGUAGUCCACGCCGUAAGCGAUGAUUACUAGGUGUGGGGGGACUGACCCCUUCCGUGCCGCAGCAAACGCAAUAAGUAAUCCACCUGGGGAGUACGACCGCAAGGUUGAAACUCAAAGGAAUUGACGGGGGCCCGCACAAGCAGUGGAGUAUGUGGAUUAAUUCGAAGCAACGCGAAGAACCUUACCAGGUCUUGACAUCGUAUGCAUAGCUCAGAGAUGAGUGAAAUCUCUUCGGAGACAUAUAGACAGGUGGUGCAUGGUUGUCGUCAGCUCGUGUCGUGAGAUGUUGGGUUAAGUCCCGCAACGAGCGCAACCCUUACUGUUAGUUGCUACGAAAGAGCACUCUAGCAGGACUGCCGUUGACAAAACGGAGGAAGGUGGGGAUGACGUCAAAUCAUCAUGCCCCUUAUGACCUGGGCCUCACACGUACUACAAUGGCUGUCAACAGAGGGAAGCAAAGCCGCGAGGUGGAGCGAACCCCUAAAAGCAGUCUUAGUUCGGAUUGUAGGCUGCAACCCGCCUACAUGAAGUCGGAAUUGCUAGUAAUCGCAGAUCAGCAUGCUGCGGUGAAUACGUUCCCGGGCCUUGUACACACCGCCCGUCACGCCAUGGGAGUCGGUAACACCCGAAGCCUGUAGUCUAGCCGCAAGGAGGACGCAGUCGAAGGUGGGAUUGAUGACUGGGGUGAAGUCGUAACAAGGUA